UACGUAGGGUGCAAGCGUUGUCCGGAAUUAUUGGGCGUAAAGGGCUCGUAGGCGGUCUGUCACGUCGGGAGUGAAAACUCAGGGCUUAACCCUGAGCCUGCUUCCGAUACGGGCAGACUAGAGGUAUGCAGGGGAGAACGAAUUCCUGGUGUAGCGGUGAAAUGCGCAGAUAUCAGGAGGAACACCGGUGGCGAAGGCGGUCUCUGGGCCGAUACUGACGCUGAGGAGCGAAAGCGUGGGGAGCGAACAGG
rnacentral:rRNA from 1 species